rnacentral:rRNA from 1 species
UACGUAGGGUGCGAGCGUUAAUCGGAAUUACUGGGCGUAAAGUGUGCGCAGGCGGCCAUGCAAGUCGAGUGUGAAAGCCCCGGGCUUAACUUGGGAAUUGCGCUCGAAACGUACGUGGCUGGAGUGUGGCAGAGGAAGGUGGAAUUCCACGUGUAGCGGUGAAAUGCGUAGAGAUGUGGAGGAACACCAAUGGCGAAGGCAGCCUUCUGGGCCAACACUGACGCUCAUGCACGAAAGCGUGGGGAGCAAACAGG